UGGAUGCCUUGGCACCAGGAACCGAUGAAGGACGUGGGAGGCCGCGAUAGGCCCCGGGGAGCUGUCAACCGAGCUUUGAUCCGGGGGUGUCCGAAUGGGGAAACCCGGCAGUCGUCAUGGGCUGUCACCCGUACCUGAACUCAUAGGGUAUGUGGAGGGAACGCGGGGAAGUGAAACAUCUCAGUACCCGCAGGAAGAGAAAACAACCGUGAUUCCGGGAGUAGUGGUGAGCGAAACCGGAUGAGGCCAAACCAGUCACGUGUGAUACCCGGCAGGGGUUGCGUGGUUGGGGUUGUGGGAGUUCUCUUGAUCGGUCUGCCGGCCGGUCGGUGAGUCAGAAACCGUUGAUGUAGGCGAAGGACAUGCGAAAGGUCCGGCGUAGAGGGUAAGACCCCCGUAGCUGAAACAUUAGCGGCUCGCUUGAGAACCACCCAAGUAGCACGGGGCCCGUGAAAUCCCGUGUGAAUCUGGCGGGACCACCCGUUAAGCCUAAAUAUUCC
rnacentral:rRNA from 1 species